GACGAACGCUGGCGGCGUGCUUAACACAUGCAAGUCGAACGGAAAGGCCCUGCUUUUGUGGGGUGCUCGAGUGGCGAACGGGUGAGUAACACGUGAGUAACCUGCCCUUGACUUUGGGAUAACUUCAGGAAACUGGGGCUAAUACCGGAUAGGAGCUCCUGCUGCAUGGUGGGGGUUGGAAAGUUUCGGCGGUUGGGGAUGGACUCGCGGCUUAUCAGCUUGUUGGUGGGGUAGUGGCUUACCAAGGCUUUGACGGGUAGCCGGCCUGAGAGGGUGACCGGCCACAUUGGGACUGAGAUACGGCCCAGACUCCUACGGGAGGCAGAAGUGGGGAAUAUUGAACAAUGGGCGGAAGCCUGAUGCAGCAACGCCGCGUGCGGGAUGACGGCCUUAGGGUUGUAAACCGAUUUCGCCUGUGACGAAGCGUGAGUGACGGUAAUGGGUAAAGAAGCACCGGCUAACUAAGUG
rnacentral:rRNA from 1 species